GACGAACGCUGGCGGCGUGCUUAACACAUGCAAGUCGAACGCUGAAGCCCUGGCUUUUGUUGGGUUGGAUGAGUGGCGAACGGGUGAGUAACACGUGAGUAACCUGCCCUCUUCUUUGGGAUAACGCCCGGAAACGGGUGCUAAUACUGGAUAUUCACUGAUCUUCGCAUGGGGGUUGGUGGAAAGGUUUGUUCUGGUGGGGGAUGGGCUCGCGGCCUAUCAGCUUGUUGGUGGGGUGAUGGCCUACCAAGGCUUUGACGGGUAGCCGGCCUGAGAGGGUGACCGGUCACAUUGGGACUGAGAUACGGCCCAGACUCCUACGGGAGGCAGCAGUGGGGAAUAUUGCACAAUGGGCGAAAGCCUGAUGCAGCGACGCCGCGUGAGGGAUGGAGGCCUUCGGGGUGUAAACCUCUUUCGCUCAUGGUCAAGCCGCAACUGUGGGUUGUGGUGAGGGUAGUGGGUAAAGAAGCGCCGGCUAACUACGUG
rnacentral:rRNA from 1 species